UGGGGAAUAUUGGGCAAUGGGCGCAAGCCUGACCCAGCGACGCCGCGUGGGCGAUGAAGGCCUUCGGGUUGUAAAGCCCUGUCAUGUGGAAAGAACAGUUCUGCGGUUAAUAUCCGCGGAAUUUGACGGUACCACAGGAGGAAGCACCGGCUAACUCCGUGCCAGCAGCCGCGGUAAUACGGAGGGUGCAAGCGUUGUUCGGAAUUAUUGGGCGUAAAGGGCGCGUAGGGGGUUGUGAAAGUCAGAUGUGAAAUACUGCGGCUCAACUGAGGAACUGCAUCUGAAACUUCAUAACUCGAGUACAGGAGAGGGAAACGGAAUUCCCGGUGUAGAGGUGAAAUUCGUAGAUAUCGGGAGGAACACCAGUGGCGAAGGCGGUUUCCUGGCCUGAUACUGACGCUGAGGCGCGAAAGUGUGGGGAGCAAACA
rnacentral:rRNA from 1 species